rnacentral:rRNA from 1 species
CCUACGGGGGGCUGCAGUGGGGAAUAUUGCACAAUGGGCGCAAGCCUGAUGCAGCCAUGCCGCGUGUGUGAAGAAGGCCUUCGGGUUGUAAAGCACUUUCAGCGGGGAGGAAGGCGGUGAGGUUAAUAACCUCAUCGAUUGACGUUACCCGCAGAAGAAGCACCGGCUAACUCCGUGCCAGCAGCCGCGGUAAUACGGAGGGUGCAAGCGUUAAUCGGAAUUACUGGGCGUAAAGCGCACGCAGGCGGUCUGUCAAGUCGGAUGUGAAAUCCCCGGGCUCAACCUGGGAACUGCAUUCGAAACUGGCAGGCUAGAGUCUUGUAGAGGGGGGUAGAAUUCCAGGUGUAGCGGUGAAAUGCGUAGAGAUCUGGAGGAAUACCGGUGGCGAAGGCGGCCCCCUGGACAAAGACUGACGCUCAGGUGCGAAAGCGUGGGGAGCAAACAGGAUUAGACCCGAGUAGUC